rnacentral:rRNA from 1 species
UACAGAGGUCUCAAGCGUUGUUCGGAUUCAUUGGGCGUAAAGGGUGCGUAGGCGGCGCGGUAAGUCGGGUGUGAAAUCUCGGAGCUUAACUCCGAAACUGCAUUCGAUACUGCCGUGCUUGAGGACUGGAGAGGAGACUGGAAUUCCUGGUGUAGCGGUGAAAUGCGCAGAUAUCAGGAGGAACACCGAUGGCGAAGGCAGCUUACUAGGCUGUAACUGACGCUGAGGCACGAAAGUGUGGGGAUCAAACAGG